UACGGAGGGGGCUAGCGUUGUUCGGAAUUACUGGGCGUAAAGCGCGCGUAGGCGGACCUGCAAGUCGGGGGUGAAAGCCCGAGGCUCAACCUCGGAACUGCCUUCGAUACUGCGGGUCUCGAGUCCGGGAGAGGUAAGUGGGAUUCCUAGUGUAGAGGUGAAAUUCGUAGAUAUUAGGAAGAACACCAGUGGCGAAGGCGGCUCACUGGCCCGGUACUGACGCUGAGACGCGAAAGCGUGGGGAGCAAACAGG
rnacentral:rRNA from 1 species